UAAAAUCCGGUUCCCGUACGAUCACAGAAGUUAAACAACGUCGAGCUUGGUCAGUACCCAGAUGGGUGACCACUUGGGAAUACUAG